AUUGAACGCUGGCGGCAGGCCUAACACAUGCAAGUCGAGCGGAUGACGGGAGCUUGCUCCUUGAUUCAGCGGCGGACGGGUGAGUAAUGCCUAGGAAUCUGCCUGGUAGUGGGGGACAACGUUUCGAAAGGAACGCUAAUACCGCAUACGUCCUACGGGAGAAAGCAGGGGACCUUCGGGCCUUGCGCUAUCAGAUGAGCCUAGGUCGGAUUAGCUAGUUGGGGGGGUAAUGGCUCACCAAGGCGACGAUCCGUAACUGGUCUGAGAGGAUGAUCAGUCACACUGGAACUGAGACACGGUCCAGACUCCUACGGGAGGCAGCAGUGGGGAAUAUUGGACAAUGGGCGAAAGCCUGAUCCAGCCAUGCCGCGUGUGUGAAGAAGGUCUUCGGAUUGUAAAGCACUUUAAGUUGGGAGGAAGGGCAGUAAGUUGAUACCUUGCUGUUUUGACGUUACCGACAGAAUAAGCACCGGCUAACUCUGUGCCAGCCGCCGCCGUAA
rnacentral:rRNA from 1 species